rnacentral:rRNA from 1 species
AUUGAACGCUGGCGGCAGGCCUAACACAUGCAAGUCGAGCGGAUGAAGGGAGCUUGCUCCUGGAUUCAGCGGCGGACGGGUGAGUAAUGCCUAGGAAUCUGCCUGGUAGUGGGGGAUAACGUCCGGAAACGGGCGCUAAUACCGCAUACGUCCUGCGGGAGAAAGUGGGGGAUCUUCGGACCUCACGCUAUCAGAUGAGCCUAGGUCGGAUUAGCUAGUUGGUGGGGUAAAGGCCUACCAAGGCGACGAUCCGUAACUGGUCUGAGAGGAUGAUCAGUCACACUGGAACUGAGACACGGUCCAGACUCCUACGGGAGGCAGCAGUGGGGAAUAUUGGACAAUGGGCGAAAGCCUGAUCCAGCCACGCCGCGUGUGUGAAGAAGGUCUUCGGAUUGUAAAGCACUUUAAGUUGGGAGGAAGGGCAGUAAGUUAAUACCUUGCUGUUUUGACGGUACCAACAGAAUAAGCACCGGCUAACUUCGUG